GCAAGGUUUAGUGCGAGAUGAAAAUAAAAGGGAAAGAAGAUAGCUGCUAACCUUCAUGGUCUCCAGCUGAAGUCUAAGUAGCUGACCCCACCCUAUAAAGCUUGUGAAAUGGCACUGGCUGAUCCAUAUUUUAAAGGCCUUGCAAAAGCAGAGAGAGAACCGUCAUGCCAGCCAAUAAUAUAAAUGGAAUUAGAGUUUGAGCGAACAA